AACGUAGGUACCGAGCGUUAUCCGGAUUUACUGGGCGUAAAGCGUGUUCAGGCGGCCUGGCAAGUCGGGCAUGAAAUCUCUCGGCUCAACCGGGAGAGGCUGUCCGAUACUGCUGGGCUUGAGGACGGUAGAGGGUGGUGGAAUUCCGCGUGUAGUGGUGAAAUGCGUAGAUAUGCGGAGGAACACCAGUGGCGAAGGCGGCCACCUGGACCGUCCCUGACGCUCAAACACGAAAGCUAGGGUAGCGAGCGGG
rnacentral:rRNA from 1 species